rnacentral:tRNA from 1 species
GAGGGUAUAGUUCAAGUGGUAGAGCACAUGGCUAGCAUGCACGAGGCCCUGGGUUCAAUCCCUGGUACCUCCU